rnacentral:tRNA from 1 species
GGCUCGUUGGUCUAGGGGUACGAUUCCUGCUUAGGGUGCAGGAGGUCCCGGGUUCAAAUCCCGGACGAGCCC